AUUUUGUCUAUAAAUUGGAAAACCAAACCAUGGUUAAAACCAGUUAUACGAACAAAAAUAUAUAUAUUUAUUGCUUCUUCUCUCUCUUUAGCUGUGUUGUGAGAGAAACCAUAGAUAUGAAGCUUUCUAUUGCUUUCUUCUUUCUUCUUUCUCUUCUCUUGUUUCAAAACGUUGGAGUGUUACUGUCCCUCAAUUGGCUUAAAACGUUGGAGUGUUACUGUCCCUCAAUUGGCUUCUAUAGACGUGUUGAAAGUAUUGGUGUCGUAUAACUAUGUAUGGCUAUGAUGUACGCAAACAAUGUGGUGCUGAUGUAAAUUUCCAUUAUAGGUUAUGUUGUUACGUUUUUGCAUAUAUAUUAUUUUGUAUCUGAA